rnacentral:rRNA from 1 species
UACGUAGGGGGCAAGCGUUGUCCGGAUUUAUUGGGCGUAAAGAGCGUGUAGGCGGUUUGGUAGGUCCGUUGUGAAAACUCGAGGCUCAACCUCGAGACGCCGGCGGAAACCAUCAGGCUAGAGUCCGGAAGAGGAGAGUGGAAUUCCUGGUGUAGCGGUGAGAUGCGCAGAUCUACGAAGGAACGCCAAAAGCGAAGGCAGCUCUCUGGGUCCCUACCGACGCUGGGGUGCGAAAGCAUGGGGAGCGAACAGG